GACGAACGCUGGCGGCGUGCCUAAUACAUGCAAGUUGAGCGCUGAAGGUUGGUACUUGUACCCACUGGAUGAGCAGCGAACGGGUGAGUAACGCGUGGGGAAUCUGCCUUUGAGCGGGGGACAACAUUUGGAAACGAAUGCUAAUACCGCAUAAAAACUUUAAACACAAGUUUUAAGUUUGAAAGAUGCAAUUGCAUCACUCAAAGAUGAUCCCGCGUUGUAUUAGCUAGUUGGUGAGGUAAAGGCUCACCAAGGCGAUGAUACAUAGCCGACCUGAGAGGGUGAUCGGCCACAUUGGGACUGAGACACGGCCCAAACUCCUACGGGAGGCAGCAGGAGGGAAUCUUCGGCAAUGGACGAAAGUCUGACCGAGCAACGCCGCGUGAGUGAAGAAGGUUGUCGGAUCGUAAAACUCGGUUGGUAGAGAAGAACGUUGGUGAGAGUGGAAAGCUCAUCAAGUGACGGUAACUACCCAGAAAGGGACGGCUAACUACGUG
rnacentral:rRNA from 1 species